rnacentral:rRNA from 1 species
GAUGAACGCUGGCGGCGUGCCUAAUACAUGCAAGUCGAGCGAACAGACGAGGAGCUUGCUCCUCUGACGUUAGCGGCGGACGGGUGAGUAACACGUGGAUAACCUCCCUAUUAGACUGGGAUAACUUCGGGAAACCGGUGCUAAUACCGGGUAUAAUAUUGAACCGAAUGGUUCAAUAGUAUAAGAGGGUUUUGCUGUCACUUGUAGAUGGAUCCGGGUCGCAGUAGCUAGAUGGUAAGGUAACGGCUUAACAAGGCAACGAUGACUAUCAGACCUGAGAGGGUGAUCGGCCACACUGGAACUGGGAAACGGACCAGACUCCUACGGGAGGGAGCAGUAGGGAAUUUUCCGCAAUGGGCGAAAGCCUGACGGAGGAACGCCGCGUGAGUGAUGAAGGUCUUCGGAUCGUAAAACUCUGUUGUUAGGGAAGAAGAAAUGUGUAAGUAACUAUGCACGUCUUGACGGUACCUAAUCAGAAAGCCACGGCUAACUACGUG